GAUCGAAAUCGUUCAAAUUUUAGAGCUUGUAAAGAAGAUAAACACGGUCAAAUAUCAUUUCAAUCGAAUUCUGAAAGAUACAUAAUCGCAGAUGAUAAAAGUGAAUUUAUUUUUAUGAAAAUAGAUUUGGCCAUACAUUAUCAAACCCAUUUUAGCAAACAAUAGAUUCACUCCGAGUCUCCGACGAAGAAACGUCCCUAACGAAGAGAGAGAGAGAGAGAGAGAGAGAGAGAGAGAGAAUGUGGUGGUUCAGCGGAGAAGCAACUAUUCGGCUUCUCACUACUCCAUCGUUACAGGUUUGGAAUAUGUCCUUUGUGGGGCCUUUCUCAGAAGUUGUAACGCAUUAUAGGACCCAAUAGAGCUCUUGAAGGUGAAGUGUCUUUAACAGCUAUGGCCCUUAACUGCAGGACAAGCUGAGAGGUGAGGUUUGGUGAAUCAUCUUGUUGAUGAAAGCGAAUUGCAGAAGAAAGCCCGGAAGUUGCAAAGGCUAUCUUGAAAAUGAUCCAAGGCUUAAGUUUUGAGUUAUAAGACGGUUAUCAAUAAUGGCCUCGACCUGGGUCACGCUCUCGCAGAGGCUAUCUUGAAAAAUGAUUAAGACCUAAAUUGAUGCUUCUUCUACGUUCAUGCUGUGGCCCAAAAUCCUGGGCUACUCCAUUUGGCUCAGUUGAUGCCUCUGUUAUUGGGGCCUCAUUCUUGCUCUUGGAGCUCAGACGAUGCUGCUGUUCCUAAUCCCCUGGUGUUUCUCCCCUGCUUUUGAACGUGCUACUCGAAGGCCUCAGUUUUGGUCUUGUCCUCACAUGCUACUUAACUUUUUGGUGUUGGAAUAUAUUGUGCAUGGAGUUGAUUUAUGAGGCAAUUAUGUGUUUAUUUUUCUUUGAUUGGUUGAUGAUUGUGGAGUUGUAUUGGAUUGAUUCUUUGCACGUACCUGAGGCAAUAAAACCAUUUUGAUUUACUUGUCAA